rnacentral:rRNA from 1 species
CAGCAGUAGCCACGGUAAUACGAAGGGUGCAAGCGUUAAUCGGAAUUACUGGGCGUAAAGCGUGCGUAGGUGGUGAGUUAAGUCUGUUGUGAAAUCCCCGGGCUCAACCUGGGAAUGGCAAUGGAUACUGGCAAGCUAGAGUGUGUCAGAGGAUGGUGGAAUUCCCGGUGUAGCGGUGAAAUGCGUAGAGAUCGGGAGGAACAUCAGUGGCGAAGGCGGCCAUCUGGGACAACACUGACGCUGAGGCACGAAAGCGUGGGGAGCAAACAGGAUUAGAUACCCCUGUAGUCCCUGUCUCUUAUAC